rnacentral:lncRNA from 1 species
AACUGAAAAUGAAGGCAGGCUGCCACUAGGACUCAUGUAUCAAUAGAGGUGAGCAAUCCUGUUCUGCCUUACACCGCUGCUAGUAUAUGCUAUUUUUCCAUGGGCCCUAGCAUAAAGGAAUCGAACAAUCAUGGGCUGAAAUCUUCAAGACCAUGAGGGCCGAAGAUCAAACACAGGGCCUAAUGUAUGCCAGGCAAGUGGGCAAUCAGCUGCUAACAAGCCCUCAAGACACUUGGAGAACUGCUGGUCAGGGUAACUUCAUAGACAUCAUCUGUCUUCAUCAGAGAGCGGGACUUGGCAGGCGUUAACUGAAGAAUAACUAGCACUGAGUUUGCUCACAAUGACAUACAAGAAGAUAGCACUGACGAGAAGUAAGUAUGCAG